UACAGAGGUCUCAAGCGUUGUUCGGAUUCAUUGGGCGUAAAGGGUGCGUAGGUGGCGCCGUAAGUCAGGUGUGAAAUCUCGGGGCUCAACCCCGAAACUGCACUUGAUACUGCGGUGCUUGAGUACUGGAGAGGAGAUUGGAAUUUACGGUGUAGCAGUGAAAUGCGUAGAUAUCGUAAGGAAGACCAGUGGCGAAGGCGGGUCUCUGGACAGUUCCUGACGCUGAGGCACGAAGGUCAGGGGAGCAAACGGG
rnacentral:rRNA from 1 species